GUGGCCUGUAGUCUAGUGGUUAAGAUACAUGAUUGGGACACCUGAGGUUGAUGGUUCAAGCCCCAAUCUAGCCACA